AUUCAGCCUGCAUCGCUCAGACUGAAACGCACUGUGCUAAUGAGGAAGAGAGCUGAAUGCCACGAAAUCCCCGCUGUACUGGUUCUAAAAACAGCUGGAUGCCCUGAAAGAUGAAGGUGGACACGGGAGGCAAACAGCCAGAAGGUAUGGAGCUGGCUGAGUGAACAGUUGGGGCUUCACCCACAGAUGACAGAUCUUUUCUAGCAUCGAAGAGGACUGAGCUUUUCCAGGGUCCCAUUCUAGCCUCUGGACCUGAGUCUUGGCAGCACUGACUGGUUACCUGCAAGCCACACAGUCAUCCCUUAACCUAUCACUGAAGUCAAAGAGAUGUGAUCUCCCGAUUGAUUGGCUUGGCCAGGUCACAUGCUCACCUCUGAGGUUGAAGUGAGGUGAGGUCUGCAGUUACUGUUUGAGAGAUUCCUGCAACAUUUCUGGAAGCCCCAGUGAGAUCUCCUUCUCCAUGGCCCCAUGGUAGAGACGGGCUGCUGCUCCCUGGUCUCUGAGAACACUAAAGUCUUCUGGAACUGAGAAGCACAAGGGGACUGCGGGACCAAGACCUGGAGUCUCUGGGAAACAUACAUCCUAAACAGGACUUCAGGGUCCUCUCCCAGUGGACAAGGGGACUGCGGGACCAAGACCUGGAGUCUCUGGGAAGCACACAUCCUAAACAGGACUUCAGGGUCCUCUCCCAGUGGACAAGGGGACUGCGGGACCAAGACCUGGAGUCUCUGGGAAGCACACAUCCUAAACAGGACUUCGGGGUCCUCUCCCAGUGGACAAGGGGACUGUGGGACCAAGACCUGGAGUCUCUGAGCGGAAGACCAGAUGAGACUGGGCUGGAUGUCCAGGCCAGGUAAAGACAAAAAAGGGAGAUAGGCAGGAAGAGCCAGCAAUGGCUAGAUCGCCUUGCAGGAUAUUAUAUCUGGAGCCUUGAAGGGAUACUCAGGUAGCACCGGUCCCCAAGGAAAAGGCCUUGAUGAGAUACUCAGGUGGAUUAGUCUUGGAAGAAAUAGACAGACUAAGCAUUUAAAAGGGGGAUGUAUAACUUCUAAGUGAAUGGUGAAUGACUGUGUAGGUGACUGUAAUGCUCCCGCAGCUCCGUGGCUACAGAAUUUGAUUGGGCCUCAACCUCAGAUCGGCUGAAGCCCUUUCAAAUGAACAGGCACUCCCACUCACAAUAGGAGGUGACCAAGUACAAGGUUAUACAUGUGGCUCUAAGGAAAGACCUCUGAAAUUGCCACAUGGUGUCUGGCCAGGCAGAUGCCUGCUUGAGGGAGAAGCUGGUCUCCACCUCACCCUAUUACUACACAGGGUUAGGCACACAUAAACUCCCCCAGUUUCCAGAUAGGGAAUUUUUCUCACCAUGGGAUUUGUAAAAUCCUGAUGUGAAACUCACACAAUCCUGCAAAGACCUUUGUGAUGGUUUGUAUAUCCUUGGACCAGGGAGUGGCACCAUCUGAAGGUGUGGCCUUGUUGGAAUAGGUGUGACCUGGUUGGAAUGGGUGUGUCACUGUGGGUGUGGGUAUAAGAUCCUCACCCUAGUUGCCUGGAAGUCAGUCUUCCACUAGCAGCCUUUGGAUGAAAACAUAGAACUCUCAGCUCCUCCUGCGCCAUGCCUGCCUGGAUGCUGCCAUGCUCCCACCUUGAUGAUAAUGGACUGAACCUCUGAACCUGUAAGCCAGCCCCAAUUAAAUGUUGUUUUUUAUAAGA
rnacentral:lncRNA from 1 species